GUGGAACCUGUAAAACCUGCAGACGCUCCCGCUCACGCGAGGAAUGAGGUCGUUCAUACGUCGCUGCGGCUGCGAGCGUCGAGGUCGAGUGUUGGCUGCUCGUCUGAGAGGAGGAACUCAAAGUGACAGAGGGGCGACGGCGGAGGCGAAGGUCCAAUCCAUCUGCCCUCCAGCGCUUUCAGUCGCCAACACGCACAGCGGCGAACAAUGGGCAAGGGUGCGAGUGAAGAUUGGGACGAGAAGCAUCCGGACACGCGGCAAACUCAGCCGCAGAGGUUCGAGGAGAAGAAGGAGCCCCAGAGGUCAGGGCGGCAGUGCCCCGCGUGCUGCCUGAAGACGCGCGACUGCCUGAUGAGCGCCGAGUGCGGCCGCGCGCUGCAGAUCUCCAGCGUCGUGGCCAUGUGCGGCAUGUGCAUCCGCAUGUUCGUCUAACCUGACCCUGAUGAGCCGGACCCGCUUCCCGGAGCGUCGAUCCUGUUAUUUAUUAUAUAUUAAUGCAGCUCCUUCUGUGACAAUAGGCUUUAGCUUAAAUAUGUAUAAAGGGACAUUUGCACUUUGAUAUGAAUGAAUGAAUGUGGCUUUACAAAAUAGACAUAUGAGGUGUAGGAUCCAAAGGCUGCAUCCAAACGUAGCAGGAUGACGUCGCUGUUAAAUAAAGCUUCCAGGAACAA